rnacentral:rRNA from 1 species
AAUAUAAAUGAGAUUGAUCCUGUCUUAUUGUUUAUAAUGAUUGGUUAUUAGAUUAUAUUAGAUACAAGUUUUUGCGGGGGCUAAUUCUUGUCUUAAGGAUAAAUUUAAUAGCAUAAUUGUAGUUUUUAAUAUUAAGUAUUAUAAAUUUAUAUACUUAGUUAAUUUAUUUAGAGCUGUUUAAGGUUGUGCCAGCAUACGCGGUUACACAUUCAGCUCAUAUCAAUCAUUUUUGGUUAAUUUAAUUUUUAAAUUUUUGAGUAAUAAUUUGUUAAUUUUAAGUGAAAUUUAAUUUUUAAAUAUAUUCUUUGGUUUAAGAUUAAUAGAAAUUUGGAAUUAAAACUAGGAUUAGAUACCCUAUUAUUCUAAAUGUAAAAAUUUUAUCAU